rnacentral:misc_RNA from 1 species
ACAGAGUUGCAAUAACUCCCUAAACCAUUGUGAACCUACCACUAAACAGUUGCUCUCGGCGGGUGGCGCGAGGGCCCCUUCACGGGGGCAGGAGCGCCCUAGACAGCCCGCCGGAGGUACUCAAACUCUUGUUUACCACAGGCCUCUCUGAGUAUUGUACUUAAAUAAGUCA